UACGUAGGGGGCAAGCGUUGUCCGGAUUCAUUGGGCGUAAAGAGCGUGUAGGCGGCCAGGUAGGUCGGUUGUGAAAACUGGAGGCUCAACCUUCAGAGGUCGACCGAAACCAUCUGGCUAGAGUCCGGGAGAGGAGAGUGGAAUUCCUGGUGUAGCGGUGAAAUGCGCAGAUAUCAGGAAGAACACCGGUGGCGAAGGCGGCCAACUGGACCACAACUGACGCUGAGGCGCGAAAGCGUGGGGAGCAAACAGG
rnacentral:rRNA from 1 species